rnacentral:rRNA from 1 species
AGUGAACGCUGGCGGUAGGCCUAACACAUGCAAGUCGAACGGCAGCACAGUAAGAGCUUGCUCUUACGGGUGGCGAGUGGCGGACGGGUGAGGAAUACAUCGGAAUCUACUUUUUCGUGGGGGAUAACGUAGGGAAACUUACGCUAAUACCGCAUACGACCUACGGGUGAAAGCAGGGGAUCUUCGGACCUUGCGCGAUUGAAUGAGCCGAUGUCGGAUUAGCUAGUUGUCGGGGUAAAGGCCCACCAAGGCGACGAUCCGUAGCUGGUCUGAGAGGAUGAUCAGACACACUGGAACUGAGACACGGUCCAGACUCCUACGGGAGGCAGCAGUGGGGAAUAUUGGACGAUGGGCGCAAGCCUGAUACAGCAAUACCGCGUGGGUGAAGAAGGACUUAGGGUUGUAAAGCCCUUUUGUUGGGAAAGAAAAGCAGCAGGUUAAUACCCCGCUGUUCUGACGGUACCCAAAGAAUAAGCACCGGCUAACUUCGUG